rnacentral:misc_RNA from 1 species
CCCGCGACGAGCAACAGAAACCUCUUCAACUGCCUCCUCGGGUGUAAACUGGUAACGAACGGAGCCGACCUGGGCAGGAGGUAGUGAAAUAGUGCGUGGCGUCCCCUUUUCCAGCAGGCGUAGGGCACAGGCGAAGUCAUCGAACGAGAAAACCUUUUCCCUGUACUCGCCGCCCGACGGCCGUGUGGGAGCGAACGGAACGGCGCGAUGGGCUGUCUCGGUCGCGCUCAGGGGACGUGGUGUCGACUGGGCCGUCAGCAAAUGCUCGAGUCGCUCUGCCACACACAAACGAAUGGGACCAGCCCAGGCUGCGUGUUGUGUGCUUUAGAGGGAAGCGUUACGCGUGAUUUUUUCCGGAAUAAUUAACGCAAAAUUUGCAGCUUUCGCGUGAAAUUAAGUUUGUGAUUGCAAAGGUGCGUGCCCCGUGCGUUUGGCGGCAAAGUGAAAAGCGAGUGGGCCCGGGUGCAAGUGCCUUUUCCGCGACGAGUGCUGCGCUUUCUUUUGUUUUUCUUUGUAUCGAUCUCGGUGGCGACGACGGCCGUCGUUUCGUGGCGUAUUUGCGGCGCUGGUAGGCGCGAGCGGGGCGGCAGGCGGCGAGUGGAGCCAGUGGAGCCGUGUUACGUAAAGCAGUGAAGGACCCCGAGGCUGCCGUGGAAUAUGCACCGCACGAGAAGCGGCCAAUUUCCCGGCUAAAUUCCAAGGAAGUGAACUCAAUGCUGCUAUUAUGGCAGCAUCACAACCACAAACGAGUACAACAGCACAUAUCCAAAAUCAAACAAAUAGUCAACCCCAAGUUAUUACCCUACAACAAUUGCAAAGUUUUUUACCACAGCAAAUGGGGACGAUUUCGACGGAUGGAGCUCAAGUUUCGGCUGCAUCGGCGACAAAUGCCACGCCGGUGAAAACAUUUGUGGCAAAUCCACAAAUGCCUCAACAACAAAUAUUGAAUUUACAAAAUUUACAGGGAAUUCCACACCAAUUUGUGCAGGGUGGACAACUCAUUCAAAAUCCUGGAAAUGGUAUGCUGUCUGUAGUUCAGCCUCUGCAAACAGUUACAGUUGAUGGACAGGAGGCGUUGUUUAUACCAAACGUGGGCAAUGCACAAUUUGCUGGUGCUCAGGCUGUUCAGAUUAAUGGACAACAGUGCAUUCUCACACCCAACGGUCAAAUUAUAAGGGCACCACCUGCCGGAGUGUUGCCUGCACAUCUUCUCCAGAAUAUGGGCCAAACAGUUCAAUUGCCUAACGCUGCUUCUGGUCAAGCCACGAUAACAAUUCCCGGAACGAACAUAACAAUUCCUAUAGGAACAGCAACAUCGGUGACAAAUGCCGCGGCAACUGCCACUACAGCACUAGCAAGUGCUAAUGCACAAUCGACAACACAGAAUCAACAGCAGCAGCAGCAACAACAACAACAGCAUCAAACGCAACAACAAAAUCAACAACAGUCACAAAAUCAACAACAGAAUCAACAACAACAACAAAAUCAAGCCAAUCAACAACAAACGCAACAACAACAAACAGCACAGCAAACUACGAUAACGAUACCAGGAACAAAUAUACAGAUUCCAACGUCAGUUGCUGCUGCCAAUGGUUUACUGGGGAAUGCAUUUCAAACUAGUAAUUUUGCUGGGAUUAAACUUGAUGGUCAAAAUAUACAAGUUCGACCAAAUGGAGCUCUUCCACAUGUAGUACAAUUUCCAAUGACGCAAACAGUUCCAGUACAGGUGCCAAUUAAUGCAGGAAAUGGUCAAACAGUUUACCAAACUGUUCAUGUGCCACUUCAAGCAUUUGCUGCAACAAUGCCUGGACUUAUUCAGCCACAGAUGCAGAUAAUACCACAAUUUACCCAGGUAGCGAAUAUAAUAACACCAACUGGUCAAAUUCAACAAGUUCAGCUGGCACCAAUUAAUCCCAUGGCAUUGCAUGCCGCCCAAACAGCGGCUACACCUUCAAAUGUGAUAUUGCAGCAAGCUGCACCGAAUCUAGCUUCAGUGACGAAUUCACAGAAUGCGGCGUCAUCAACUUCACUGAGCAAUGUCACCUCGUCCAAUGUUCAAGCUGUUGCCGGAGGUCAAGAAGGAACUCAAGCACAACCGAUAACCAUUACAAAUGCCCAGGGGCAACAAAUUACUGUGAUUCCAACGCAGGCUUUACAUCAAUUUCGACCUGCAAAUGCUGCAAAUAUAAUCCAGAUGCCUAACAUACCGGGUUUACAGGCGAUCCCUGUGCAAAAUAUUCCUGGAUUAGGUAAUGUGCAGGUGAUACAAGCUAAUGGCGUUAAUGUUGGACAAAAUUUGACAACGCAAUCUAGUACGCCGACAGCAACGACCAAUAAUCCUGCGAUAACUGCUUCCACUACGCCCAUAUCAAUAACUCCACAAAUAACCACGAUAAAAACCGAGCCUACCGAAAUCAAAUGGCUAAUGCAUAGUCCUGGCACGAAUGCAACUGCUGCCGCACCACAAGCUCAGACUCAGCACCAGCAACAGCAGCAUCAGCAACAACAACAGCAGACUCAUCAGCAACAGCAGCAGCAACAACAAGCCCAACAUCAGCAAGCUCCACAAUCUACACCCAAUUCUCAACCCCAUCCUGCUUCCCUGGAAUCCGCGGGCCCUGGACCCAUUCAUAUGGCCGCGAGUCAACAACAGUUUGCUCCUACUCAAGCCCAAAAUCAGACCUCGGUGAACGUAAAUAUCAAUGUGAAUGAUGGAAUUGAUGUGAAGCCUAGACUGAAACGAGUUGCAUGCACAUGCCCAAACUGUACGGAAGGAGAGAAACAUUCGGAUCGAAAGAAACAGCACAUUUGUCAUAUUCCUGGAUGCAACAAGGUGAGCGACCAUUUGUGUGCUCAUGGUUGUUCUGUGGUAAGCGCUUCACAAGAUCCGAUGAAUUGCAACGACAUCGUCGGACUCAUACCGGCGAAAAACGUUUCCAAUGCAGCGAGUGUAACAAGAAAUUUAUGCGCAGCGACCACUUGUCCAAGCACAUCAAGACUCACAACAAACCAAGAAAUAAUUUUGAUUCAAUGGUCGAGAUGAAAAAUGAAAUGGAAAUGAAAGUUGAUGGUAAUAGGCUUGUAAUGGGAUCGAAAAUGGAGGGUUCAGAAGAGGCGGAAACUGAUGAUAGUACAGUUGUACUCGAAGUCACAACGGGAAAUGCUGAAGGAAAUGUUACUUCUGCCGCGUCGACACCGAUGCAUUCAAAUAAUUCUUUAAUUUGGGUGUCGCCGGCUUUGCAUCAGCACAACCAAUCGUCGCCGUCCACUCCACCGCCUCCGCCACCGCUC